GCAUCAGGGGUCAGCAGAAGUACCACAGAGAGUUCAAAAUCAUGUUUUUAAGAGGAAUUAACAUCCUCUUGCCUCAGCCUCCUGAGUAGGUGAGACUACAGGUGCCUGCCACAAUGCCCAGCUAUUUUUAGAGACGGGGUCUCACUCUGGCUCAGGCUGGUCUUGAACUCCUGAUCUGCCCGUCUUGGCCUCCCAGAGACCAAGAAUUACUUAAGCCCAAGGGUUUGGGCUGCUGGGAGUUAUGAUGCCAUGGCACUCUACUGAGAGUGACAAAAUAAGACUGUCUAAAAAAAAAAAAAGUUGAAGACUAUAGCCAGGUACUGAUUUUUCUAUUACAUCCUGGUAAUUUGGAUGUACUGGGUCAUUUAAAUAUCUUUGAAAUCAGCCUUUACGCAUUUUAAUGUAUUUCAGAAUUUCUCAGGUUUAAACUAAAGGGAUUCUAAUGUCUCUAUAUUUAAUCCUCAUUCAAUUGUAGCCUGUUUUGUUUGGACUGCAAAACCAAAAGAGUUGGAAUAGUUUAAAAGGCCAAUAAUAGAAGUUAGUGAAAACAACCCGGAAGUACAAGAGCAGAGAAUUAAUAAGAAACCACCUAAAUAUUCCAUGUAGGGGAAGUCAAAUUUUACUUCUACCCUUUUAGGGUUUUCUGGCUGGACCUGCAAUUAAUUCGACACAAGACAGAUCAACAGGAGAGAAUAUAAAUUCACUUGCCAUGCGUUUUACAUGGCCUGGGAUCCUUCACGAGGAAAUGAAGACCCAGAGGCGCAGUUUGCACUGAACACUUACGUACUCAGCUGGGCAAAGAGCAAAAGAGUUGUGAAAAUGUACCAAGGCAAAGGGGCCUGGGCAUGGAAGUUAGUUGGGUGGAGAAGUGACUAGGAAGCUAAAGGUGAGUUGAAUAAGGUUCAUUCCCACAGAUUCCUGUUGGCCUCAACGUCCUAUCCUUGAUGAUAAAAAUUCUUCCUUUCUGAUAUCCAGUUUUCUCAGCACUAUGUAAUGAAGUGACCAUUCUUUCUCUAUUGAAUUGUCUUAGCACUUUUGUGCUAAGGCCAAUUGACCAUAAAUAAGAGGGCUUAUUUUUUGACUCAAAAUUCUAAUUCAUUGAAUUAUCUUUAAGAUGGAAAUGUCUAUCCUUAUUCCAGUGUCACACUGUCUUAAUUUCUGUAUCAUUGUAAGUCUUAAAAUAUAGAAGUGAGAUACCUCUCAAAAAAAAAAAAAAAAAAAUUCUUCCUUUCUGGGAUAGGAAGCACAUCUUUCCAAUGGAAUGCUCACCUCCUUUUAAGCAAAAGAAGGAAGGUGAAAGUGUUUCUCUUGAAAGGCUGUUUUUCAAAUGCCUUUAAACUCAAAAUAGUCAACAUGCCAGAGCUGCCUGUUGUACGGUGUUGUGUUCUGAAUGCCUGCGCUCACAACUGUGGCUCGUGUGAGUGCGUUGCAGUAGAUUCUAAUAUAGUAUUCACUGUAUGAUGAAAUGUUAUAAAAAAAGUUUUAUGUAUACAGAGAUGGUAAUAAUGAUUGCCUUUGUGUCUAUAAUAUGGGUAUGCACAAUUUCUGAUUUAUGUGUAGUUCAGAGAAUACUGAAUUGGAAUUAAAAAAAUAUAUUGUUAAUGCACUCAUUUUGUUUACAGUUAUUUAUUCUUUCUUUUUCUCUUUUAUUUAUUUAUUUACUUAUUUUUUGAGACAGAGUCUCACUCUGUCACCCUAAGUGCCGUGGUGUCAUAGCUCAUAGCAAUGUCUUGAGCUCAAAUGACCCUCUUGCCCCACCCUUCCUAGUAGCGGAGUUAUUUAUUUUAUUGAUUGACAGAGUUGUUUAUUUUAUCGAUUGACAUCUAAAACAUUUGCAACCUUUAUCUAGAACAAUCAGCAGAAAGCAUAAAUAGCUAGCAGAAAAUGAAUUACAAAUGAAAAGCAGAUAGUACCAAAGUGAAGCAAGGCUAAAAACUCUAAAAUCAGCCAGGUGUUUUCCUGUGGUCUGGGGACUUCUGGAACAUCUCUGAGAGCCUUUCAUGAGUUUCCAAAGCCAGAGCUAUUAUCCUAUUAAGAUCUUAUUUGCCUCUGUCAUUCUCUCUCCCUCAGGAAUAAACAGGGGAAUUUUCUAGAAGCUACAGUGGUAUCAUGACAGAUUGAACACGGAAGCAGACAGGAGGAGCAACUCGCUUCCAGCAGCCCAAUGGUCAGACUGAAAGCUUUGCCGUCAUGGAUCUGACAUCCUGCUGGAACGAGGAAGACGGACAGUGAUCAAUAAAAAAAACAUAAACCCCCAAGGGGAUCUGCUUUUGAAGACAGAAGUGAUGAAAGCUAAAAAGAGAGGGACUGAUGACCUUGUAUCAUCAUCAUCAGAUGGAGUUUGAGGAUAAAAUCUACACGCUCUUCAAAGUAAACCUGUUUGUCCUACUUGUCCUGAAAUCCUCCUAGUAAAAUCUACUUUGAACAUUAUGAAAUGAGUUUUCUAUGAAAGUAAAAAGGUUCUGAGUGUUGCUUCAAAGUUAC